AUGCACAAGACCCUAGUCUGCUACUCAACGUGGAGCGAUGGCCUUGAGAAGAAGAAGCGCGAAGGAGGCUCAGCCACCAACUACAUCGCCCGGAAGAAAGCUCAGAAGCUCCAGCUGAGCCUGGCUGACUUUAGGCGGCUGUGCAUUCUGAAGGGCAUUUAUCCCCAUGAACCCAAACACAAGAAGAAGGUUAACAAGGAUUCUACAGCGCCCGAACUUUUUACCUUAUCAAAGACAUCAGGUUUCUCCUCCAUGAACCCAUCGUCAACAAGUUCCGGGAAUACAAGGUCCCACUACGAACUUGACCACAUCAUCAAGGAAUGGUACCCCACAUUCACUGAUGCCCUGCAGGACCUGGACGACGUCCUCUCCAUGUGCUUCCUCUUUUCCACCUCCCCAAGGACCGGCAAGUGUCGCGUGCAGAUCAUUCGGCGGUGCUGCCGGCUCACCGUGGAGUUCAUGCACACAUCAUUGCCACCCAUACCCUGCACAAGGUCUCCCUGUCCAUCAAAGGCAUUUACUACCAGGCCGAGGAUCACUCCCUAUGCCUUCUCCCGUGACCACCCGACAGACGGACUGCAGUCAUGGCCAUCUUCACCGAGUUCUACACCACCCUGCUGGGCUUCCUCAACUUCCGCCUCUACCAGUCGCUCAACCUCCACUACCCCCCAAAGCUCGAGGGACAGGCCCAAGCAGAGGCGAAGGCCAGGGAGGGCACCUACGCGCUGGACUCCGAGAGCUCUGUGGAGAAACUGGCGGCCCUCAGUGCCAGCCUGGCCGGCGUGGUGCCAGCCGUAGAAGAGGAAGCCGAGGUGGAUGAGUUUCCCGCCGAUGGGGAGAUGUCGGCGCAGGAAGGAGCUGGAGGCGCAGGAGAAGCACAAGAAGCUUCCUGAGGGCCUGAAGUGCUUCCUGAACCCUGAGGUGCCCCGCGAGGCCCUGGCCUUCGUCAUCAGGAGUUCUGGGGCAGGGAGUGUCCUGGGACACGUCUUUGUGCAUCGGGGCCCCCUACGACGUCACGGACUCCGCAUCACUCACCAGACUGUUGACCGGCCUGGGCAGCAGACCUCCGUCAUAGGCAGGUGCUAGUACAGCCCCAGUGGGUGUUUGACUCAGUGAGCCCUAGGCUUCUCCUCCCCGGGGCAGACUACUUCCCUGGGGUGCAGCUGCCCCCACUCCUUUCACCCUUUGUGACUGACAAGGAAGGAGAUUACGUCGCACCUGAGAAGCUGAAGCUGCUGGCUCUGCAGCGGGGAGAGGACCCAGGAAACCUGACUGAGUCGGAAGAAGAGGAGGAAGAGGAUGACAACGAAGGUGAUGGUGAUGGAGCGGGAGAAAAUGAGGAGGAAGAGGAGGAGGAGGCCCGGCUGGCAGCCCUGGAGGAGCAGAGGAUGGAGGGGAAGCCAGGGUGAUGGCAGGCACCUUGAAGCUGGAGGAUAAGCAGCGACUGGCCCAGGAGGAAGAGAGCGAGGCCAAGCGCUUGGCCAUCAUGAUGAUGAAGAAGCGGGAGAAGUACCUGUACCAGAAGGUCAUGUUUGGCAAGUGGUGAAAAAUCCGAGAGGCCAACAAGCUGGCGGAGAAGCGGAGAGCCCACGAUGAGGGGUGGAGUCUGAGAAGGCCAAGAAGGCAAGGCCGGAGUGAGUGCUGGCGGCCCCUCAGGGCUGAGGCCAGCUCCUAGCAGCUGAACAUGGCAGAGGCAGGCCACGGGAACUAAGUGUGAUGGACGAGAGUCAUUUCUCUUCUUUCUCCAGCCAGCCCUGAUCCUUCAUGCUCUCUAGCUGGGCCAAUGGGCAGCCCUGGCCCUUCCUUGGAUGGAGCUGCCCUGCUGGUGCCUGAGCAGAGAAGAGGCCUCUGUGCCCAGCCUGAUUCUGUGCUCCCAGGAGCCAGUGACAUGAGGUGCAGGGGCCCACCCAGCCCCUUACCUGCUGCCCCUAUUCACCCUGGCUUUCCACAGCUCUCUCCCGCACAGUUGGGCCCCUGAUUCUCAGGGUGCUGUGAUGGGGUGAGGAUAGGGGGAGCAUUUGUUAUUAAAUGAC